rnacentral:rRNA from 1 species
GUGGGGAAUCUUCCGCAAUGGACGAAAGUCUGACGGAGCGACGCCGCGUGAGUGAUGAAGGCCCUUGGGUCGUAAAGCUCUGUCAUCAGGGACGAACGGUCACGUCAGGAAAUGGGCGUGAAUUGACGGUACCUGAGAAGGAAGCCACGGCUAACUACGUGCCAGCAGCCGCGGUAAUACGUAGGUGGCGAGCGUUGUCCGGAAUUAUUGGGCGUAAAGCGCGCGCAGGUGGGAUCUUAAGUCUGUUCUGAAAGUUCGGAGCUUAACUCCGUGAUGGGAUGGAAACUGGGAUUCUUGAGUAUCGGAGAGGAAAGCGGAAUUCCCCGUGUAGCGGUGAAAUGCGUAGAUAUGGGGAGGAACACCAGUGGCGAAGGCGGCUUUCUGGACGAUGUCUGACACUGAGGCGCGAAAGCCAGGGGAGCGAACGGGAUUAGAAACCCUAGUAGUCC